GGUAUGGGAUGAGCUUGCGUCCGAUUAGCUAGUUGGCGGGGCAACGGCCCACCAAGGCGACGAUCGGUAGCCGGCCUGAGAGGGUGAUCGGCCACAUUGGGACUGAGAUACGGCCCAGACUCCUACGGGAGGCAGCAGUAGGGAAUAUUGCACAAUGGGGGAAACCCUGAUGCAGCAACGCCACGUGUGGGAAGAAGCAUUUCGGUGUGUAAACCACUGUCGUGAGGGAAUAAGGCUAUUUUUCGGAAUAGUUGAAUGUACCUCGAAAGGAAGCACCGGCAAACUUCGUGCCAGCAGCCGCGGUAAUACGAGGGGUGCAAGCGUUGUUCGGAAUCACUGGGCGUAAAGGGAGCGUAGGCGGAGAUGCAAGCAGUCUGUACAAUACCGGGGCCCAACCCCGGACCUGCAGACUGGACUGUGUCUCUUGGAUAGUUCAGGGGCAGGC
rnacentral:rRNA from 1 species